rnacentral:rRNA from 1 species
UACGUAGGGGGCAAGCGUUGUCCGGAAUCAUUGGGCGUAAAGCGCGUGUAGGCGGUCCGGUAAGUCCGCUGUGAAAGUCGGGGGCUCAACCCUCGGAUGCCGGUGGAUACUGUCGGGCUUGAGUACGGAAGAGGCGAGUGGAAUUCCUGGUGUAGCGGUGAAAUGCGCAGAUAUCAGGAGGAACACCAAUGGCGAAGGCAGCUUGCUGGGACGGUACUGACGCUGAGGCGCGAAAGCGUGGGGAGCAAACAGG